ensembl:lncRNA
AUGGUGUGUUGUGUUUGUAUUCCCAUCUCGAGCAGCAGUGACUCAGGACCAAGUCAUCCCUUUACAGGAAUUACCUACAAAGGAAACCGGAGCCUCCACGGCAUCUCUCUGUCAUCCCUCUCUCCAGAUGGUGCCUCUAAAUCCCUUCUGAAGGCGAUUGUGCAAACCAGCAUCACAACAAGAAAUGUUCACAGCUUCAACCAGUGGAAAUUAAUACCAGCGACAGAAAUCCUAUCACUGGAGCCAUGGAGGAAGACACACACUCCAGGUAAGACAGUAUUAUAAUGAUUUUAUGUACUGUAAAUCUUUUAAUCUGGACUCUCACAAUUGAGCCAUGGGGUUCUGUCCUCUGGGAAAUAAGAGUUGCUUUAUAUCAGUUGGAUACCACAUACUCUUAAUGCACUGCAAGCUGAACAACAUGUCUUACACCCUGUCCUAGUGAUAGUGAAAUAUAUUAGCUUAGAUCAUUCUCCUUGCCUAGGGAACCUGAAAAAAAAGGCAUUUCAGGAGGAAAAGUUCAGUGGAGCUUUCUGAAAUGCUUUACUAGAAAGGUACAGCCCAUCCUUUACUUAUUAUGUCAUUAUAAGGCACUCUGAGGUUUUUUGGAAGUAGGUACUUGUUACUCAUAAUCAUCACAUACCUGUCCUUGGGAUACAGUUCUUUUAUCCAAUUUUCUUGUUCCACUCCCCACAUUUCUGGGGUUCUGUGAUUUUUUUCUUCUUCCUAACAGAUGUAGCAAGAACCUUAUGUGCUCACCACUUUCUUUUUUAAUUUCUUAGAAGUGUUGAAGUUUUUGUUCACAGAACACUGAAUGAGAAUUAAAUUUUUCUGUUAAAAAAAUACCACAGCUUUUCAAAUAUGUCAUUUUUAUGUGACUAUUUUAAAGUUAUGCAGAUGGCAAAAAAAAUUGGAGGAAUCAGCCAUGGGAUUUGUUUGAUUUUCUGAAACAACUGUUGCUUAGUUUGUGAGGCAAUG